rnacentral:rRNA from 1 species
GACAGAGGGUGCAAACGUUGCUCGGAAUCACUGGGCGUAAAGGGCGUGUAGGCGGGAAGGAAAGUCAGAUGUGAAAUCCCCAGGCUCAACCUGGGAACUGCAUUUGAAACUCCCUUUCUUGAGUGUCGGAGAGGAAAGCGGAAUUCCUGGUGUAGAGGUGAAAUUCGUAGAUAUCAGGAGGAACACCAGCGGCGAAGGCGGCUUUCUGGACGAUAACUGACGCUGGAGACGCGAAAGCGUGGGGAGCAAACAGG